rnacentral:rRNA from 1 species
UCGAUUUGGAGUUUGUUGCCCUGAGUGAUGGGCUCCGAAGCUAACGCGAUAAAUCGACCGCCUGGGGAGUACGGCCGCAAGGUUAAAACUCAAAUGAAUUGACGGGGGCCCGCACAAGCGGUGGAGCAUGUGGUUUAAUUCGAUGCAACGCGAAGAACCUUACCUGGUCUUGACAUCUACAGAAUCUUGCAGAGAUGCGAGAGUGCCUUCGGGAAUUGUGAGACAGGUGCUGCAUGGCUGUCGUCAGCUCGUGUUGUGAAAUGUUGGGUUAAGUCCCGCAACGAGCGCAACCCUUAUCCUUUGUUGCCAGCGAUUCGGUCGGGAACUCAAAGGAGACUGCCGUUGAUAAAGCGGAGGAAGGUGGGGACGACGUCAAGUCAUCAUGGCCCUUACGACCAGGGCUACACACGUGCUACAAUGGCGUAUACAAAGGGAGGCGACCUCGCGAGAGCAAGCGGACCUCACAAAGUACGUCUAAGUCCGGAUUGGAGUCUGCAACUCGACUCCAUGAAGUCGGAAUCGCUAGUUAAUCGUGAAUCANAAUGUCACGGUGAAUACGUUCCCCGGGCCU